rnacentral:rRNA from 1 species
CCCUUAGAUGUUCUGGGCAGCACGCGCGCUACACUGAUGCAUGCAACGAGUUUAUAACCUUGGCCUGAAAGGUCUGGGUAAUCUUUUGAACGUGCAUCGUGAUAGGGAUAGAUUAUUGCAAUUGUUAAUCUUGAACGAGGAAUUCCUAGUAAACGCGAGUCAUCAGCUCGCAUUGAUUACGUCCCUGCCCUUUGUACACACCGCCCGUCGCACCUACCGAUUGAAUGGUUCGGUGAAGAUCUCGGACUUCGAUAUUUAUUCUUUAUUGAGUUUAUAUUGUGGGAAGUUAUCUAAACCUCAUCAUUUAGAGGAAGGUGAAGUCGUAACA